AUCUUACAUAAAUUGUACUACAUUUUGAAGAAUGCUAGUCAGGAAUUUUAUAGAAUACCCCUCAAUUUUAUUUUAUAAUGAGAUUAAGGGUUUUAGAAAAAGGACCAGAGAUGUGGACUAUGCGUUGUAUCAUGGGUAUGUGAGAACAACACGAUUUAUCACUGGUGAUUUUAACUUUCAUUAUUUGGUUAAGGUGAUGGUAUCUGCCAAGUUUUUUUUCCUGUAAAGUUACUACUUUUCCCUUCCUACAUUUUAUUCUUUGGAGGUGAGUCACUAAGUCUAGCCCACAUAGGAAAGUGGAAUUAAGCUCUAUGUCCUGGAAGGAAUAAUCUCUACCUAUAUUAUUUGGAAUGUUUCUGUAAAGAAGAUUUGCUUGUUCUUCCCAUUUACUUA
rnacentral:lncRNA from 10 species